rnacentral:rRNA from 1 species
AACGAACGCUGGCGGCAGGCUUAACACAUGCAAGUCGAGCGCCCCGCCAGGGGUGCGGCGGACUGGUGAGGAACGCGUGGGAACGUACCUUUUUGUUCGGAACAACCUCGGGAAACUGGAGCUAAUACCGGACUAGCGCUAACGGGGGAAGAUUUCUCGCCGAAAGAUCGGCCCGCUGCUGAUUUGCGAGUUGGUGAGGUAACGGCUCACCAAGGCGACGAUCAGUAGCUGGUCUGAGAGGAUGAUCAGCCACACUGGGACUGAGACACGGCCCAGACUCCUACGGGAGGCAGCAGUGGGGAAUAUUGGACAAUGGGCGCAAGCCUGAUCCAGCCAUGCCGCGUGAGUGAUGAAGGCCUUAGGGUUGUAAAGCUCUUUUGUCCGGGAAGAUAAUGACUGUACCGGAAGAAUAAGCCCCGGCUAACUUCGUG